UGGGUCGGCUGGACGGUCGCGUCACGAGGGUUUUCUUUCGUGCCGAGGAACGUCCGGGCUCCACAGGGCAGGGCGGUGGGUAACACCCACCCGGAGUGAUCCGCGAGACAGUGCCACAGAAAACAGACCGCCGCGGGCAACCGCGGUAAGGGUGAAACGGUGGUGUAAGAGACCACCAGGGACCGCGGUGACGCGGUCUGCUCGGUAAACCUCGCCCGGAGCAAGGUCAGACAGGGGAUGUUGACGCGGCCCGCCGAGUCCUCGGGUAGACCGCUAGAACGGCAUGGCAACGUGUCGUCGAGAGAGAUGACCGUCCACGGGGCUCACGCCCCCGGACAGAACCCGGCGUACAGGCCGGCCCACUCG
rfam:Microbacterium sp. C448 genomic scaffold, scaff32